rnacentral:lncRNA from 1 species
UGGUAUGAAAGCAAUAAAAGAUUCUGAGGUGCUCUGUGCUGAAGGCAGGUCCUAUAAUACCAAGAGGGUGGCUUCAGUGCCAUUGCAUGUGACUUUGGCGAUGUCGAGCGUGAAGAUGCGGGACAAGCCUCGGAGCCCCCCAAUGAGAGACUUCAAGACCAUUAAAGGCCAGACCCAUUUUUGGGGUCGUCCGUGCAUAUGGGAGAAGUGCGGCCGCUCGUGGGGUUUGCGCAUAGAUGGCCUCAUCAUGCUCUGAAGUCA